rnacentral:rRNA from 1 species
CCUGAUGUGGGGGAUAACCAUUGGAAACGAUGGCUAAUACCGCAUGAUGCCUACGGGCCAAAGAGGGGGACCUUCGGGCCUCUCGCGUCAGGAUAUGCCUAGGUGGGAUUAGCUAGUUGGUGAGGUAAGGGCUCACCAAGGCGACGAUCCCUAGCUGGUCUGAGAGGAUGAUCAGCCACACUGGAACUGAGACACGGUCCAGACUCCUACGGGAGGCAGCAG